GGAGGGAUGGCAGAGCGGUUUAAUGCGGCGGUCUUGAAAACCGUUGGGCGUUCAGCGUCCCGAGAGUUCGAAUCUCUCUCCCUCCG
rnacentral:tRNA from 1 species